UAGCUCAGUUAGUAGAGCAUGAGACUCUUAAUCUCAUGGUCCUGGGUUCAUGCCCCAC
rnacentral:tRNA from 1 species